GGCCCGCGGUGCCCAGGAGGUCCGCAGAUGGCUGCCAAGGCCCUGGAUGCAGCCAGAAGGCAGCUGACCAGACCAAUUGCAGGACGUGGGAUCAGACCUUGACACAGGUGGUGGGCCUGCCUUUCACCAUUCCUCCCAGACGCGAGCUGUGGGUGAGUCGGCCCGA